AGAGAAGGCAGCCACCUGCAAGCCAGGAAGAAGGUCACACCAGACACCAACCAUGCUGGCAUCUGGACCUUAGACUUCCAGGCUCCAGAAUCGUGAGAAAAUAAAUGCCUAUUAUUUAAGCCCCAGUCUGUGGCAUUCUGUUACAGCAGCCUGAGCUGACUGAGACACAGACCCUCCAAGAAAAAAAGGGAAGGACUUCUGCUUGGGUGCCAAAAGUGUGCAGAGCUGCUCUGCCCGGGACCUGUGUCAUCCUUCUUCCAUCUCUUCUACACAUGCUGGUUCCCUCCACCAGACUCUGGCCUGUCCUGUCUGCAGGGUGAAGUCUAAUGGGACCAUGGAGUGGGCACAUGAGCUGGAGAUUCAUGCAAUAGACAUGCCUGCUGUUCCUUGCUGCCUUGUCAGCAUGUGGUGUUCUUGAUGCCCCAUGAGCAUAGCAUUCCAGGGAAACCAUGAUGCAUGGAAGUGUGACUCAAAAAUGGCAUCAAAUAGCAAAUAAAAAAUAUCAUGAUAAGAUGAGAGAGAGAGACUGGAAGAAAGAAGAAAGCUCUGUAUUUUAGUAACUUCAAUGAUACCUUUUUCCUGCUUUUUGAAAAAGAGGUCCCACAUUUUCAUUUUGAACAAGGAGCCCCACAGUUGUGAGAACAGCCUGACAGAGGGCAUGGAGACUGAGGAUAGGAGGCCCACUCAGAUCCCAGAGUUAUUCAGAGAGGAAGAAACCAAUGCUUUGAAAGGUUGAGCAACCUGUCCACAUCACUUGACCGGCAAGCAGCACAGCCAAUGACCGUGGACCCAUAGACCUCAGCCACCAACUUCUGUGCUGUCCUGCCUGCUAGGUGUAACAUACCUAAUUCUUUUGCCCCUGUCUCCUUGGAUGUCAGGCUCCUCCUGGGCUGGCCUAUGUAACCAGUAGAAAACUGUGGAAGUGAUGGGGCAGGACCAGUAGAAUACUAGAGAAGUGAUGGCGUGGGACAACUUCCAAGGCCGCAUCACAGAAGGCAUUGCAGCUUCUGCCGUGGUCUCCUGGACUGCACACUGGGCAAGCCAGGCACCAUACUGUGAGGAUGCUCAAGCAGCCCCGAGGAGAGGCACACGUGGAGAGGAACUGAGGCCUCCUGCCAACAGCCACGUGAGUGCACCACCCAGAAGUGGGUCCUUCAGCCUCAGACAGGCUUUCAGAGGACUGGAGCCCUUGCUGACCUCUGACUGCAGUCCUGUGAGAGACCCUAAGACACAACUUCCCACUCACACUGCUCCUGAAUUCCUGACCACAGAAACUGUGAGAGAUGUGAAGUGCUUAUUGUGGGAAGCUUUGUUAUGUACUUUCUUACAUAAUGCUAGAUUACAAGUGCAGUUGCUGCCCAUGGGUGCCACCUGCUGGUGUUCCUGCCCCUGUGUACCCCCUCCCCUUGAGUGUGUGCCGUGAUGGGAUGUCACUCUGAGACUGCACAGCAAAGCCUCUGGCUUCUACCUUUCUCACUCUCUUGCUCUCUUGUCUCCCUUGCUCUGAGGGAAACUGGCUGCCAUGUUAUAAGCUGCUCUAUGGAGAGGCCCAUGUGGCUAAGAAUUGAGGGAGGCCUCCUGCUGAUAGCCAGUGAGGACCUAAGGACCUCAGUCCCACAUCUGGUGCAGAGCUGCACUGGCCAACAACCAUGUGGCUGAGCUUGGAAGUGGAUCCUCCCCCAACUGAACCUUGAAAUGACAGACGCUCCAGCAGGCACCAUGAUGCCAGCCUUGUAAGAGACCCUGAGCCAGAACACACAGCUGAGAUGUGUCUGGAUUCCUGACCUGCAGAAACUGUGUGGCAAUAAACAUUUGUUGUUUUAAAGCUGCUAAGUUUGGGGGCCAUUUGUUACACAGCAGCAGAUAACAAAUACAGUUCUGAUUAAUGGCACCAGCCUCACCUGUCCUAUUCCUAGAUAUGCUUAGCUUAGCUUUGGUCUAGACUUGGGUCUCCAUGUACAACUAUAACCUUGGUCAUCUGAAGCUCAGAGUAGGAGGGGGUGUAUUGAGGGAAUGAGACUACGAGGAGGCACACCCCAAUAUCUGCUGCUUUCUGGAAAACUCAGCCUCCAAAACUAAGUCAGCAACCAUAGGAGAUGGCCGUUGCAAGGUGGUUAAGCAUAAGGGAAUAACACAGGUUCGGAGCCAGCUUCUACCACCUCUUUCCUUUAACAGAGUUACAGGUCCUCCCUGAGCUCCCAUUUCUCAGGGGCCCUCCUGAAGCAGAGAAGGAAGCCACAACAUGGGCAGUCUAACUAGCACCAGCCAGAGAGCAGACACGAAGACGAAAGGAGAGGUUCUUUGUAAGGAACUUAGCCCUGGAACACGGCAGGUGCUUGUUAUGAGCUUGGCCUUGUAGUUAUCAGGGCACUUGGCAUCAUAGGCAUCACCCCAGCCACUGUUGGCAUGAAGACCUUGCAAUGCCAUCCUGGUUCCUGGACCCGGGCAUAUUAACGAUGAUGCCCACAUCUGAAGGACAAGAAGGUCUCAGUCGUGCAAUCACAGAGGAUUCACCUGGAGCUUCCCUGAGGAAUGUUCUUUUGGGCCGAGUCACCCGCUUGCUCCGGUGAGGCUGAGCUUGAGCUUUGAAUCCUGCCUGGAAUACAAAGGCCCCAUCAAACACUGCCAGGCUCACCAGCUCCCCUCCACCGCAUGCGCCAAGGGUCUCCCUCGCUUGGGUGUUUAUUUCUUGCUGUAAGAAGCGAUGAUUUAAUUCUUGCCUGGGAUAUCAUUCAGCCCAAGUUCGUGCUGAAGUGAGGCAUAUUUCAGCACUCACCAAUGUCCAUAUAGAUAAAAGAGAAAAAAAAGAGAGAGAGAAAACAACCUCAACCAGCCUCUUCAAGAGCUGUGCAUUUGAAACCUGUUUCUUAAAGAUGGAUUGCCCGUUAGGCUGCUAAGAGGUUUUUCUUGACUUGUCAACAUUUUAUGCCCCCACAAACAUUCUUGGCUAUAAAUUAUUCAUUGCCCAGUUAGUGGUUAAAAAAAAAAAAGCUGCCCGGGGCUGAGAUACUUUCUUAAUUCCCCCUCUGCUUUUCAGAUCCAAGUUGUUUUUGUCCCUCCUCCUGCUGGAAAAGUAGAAAUAACUGGAAGUCUCUGGACUCAGAGGUGCGUGGCUAUGGCCGGAUGAGAAAAUAGAGUUGAGUACAGCAUGAGCUUGGCUGGGGUCAGGGAUGGGGGCAAUUACAGUUUUGGGGUCAAGCCUGGACACUG
rnacentral:lncRNA from 10 species